ACGGAAGGCAGCAGUGGGGGAUAUUGCACAAUGGGGGAAACCCUGAUGCAGCGACGCCGCGUGAGUGAUGAAGUAUUUCGGUAUGUAAAGCUCUAUCAGCAGGAAAGAUAAUGACGGUACCUGACUAAGAAGCACCGGCUAAAUACGUGCCAGCAGCCGCGGUAAUGCGUAUGGUGCAAGCGUUAUCCGGAUUUACUGGGUGUAAAGGGAGCGCAGACGGCAUGGCAAGCCAGAUGUGAAAGGCAGGGGCUCAACUCCUGGACCGCAUUUGGAACUGUCAAGCUAGAGUAUCGGAGAGGUGAGUGGAAUUCCUAGUGUAGCGGUGAAAUGCGUAGAUAUUAGGAAGAACACCGGUGGCGAAGGCGGCUCACUGGACGAUAACUGACGCUGAGGCUCGAAAGCGUGGGGAGCAAACAGGAUUAGAUACCCUGGUA
rnacentral:rRNA from 1 species